AUUGUACAGACUAGCCAUGCACGUCUAAGUACAAACUAAAUGAUGGUGAAACUGCAAAUGGCUCAUUACAACGGUUAUGAUGUACCCGGGAGUUCCGAUGGAUAUUUCCAGUAACACUAGAACUAAUACAUGUCCCUGCGUUUAUUAGUUUCGCACAGUCCGUCGCUGAGUCAUGGUAAACAGUUGAUCGACUCGACGUCCCGGAACAGUUUCCGCCCCAUCAGCUUCGAUGGUUGGGUAUUGGCCUACCAUUGCAACAACGGGUAACGAGGAAUUAGGGUUUGAUUUCGGAGAGGGAGCCUGAGAAACGGCUACCACAUCUACGGAUGGCAGCAGGCGCGCAAAUUACCCAAUGCAGACACUGUGAGGUAGUGACGAGAAAUAAUAAAGCGGGACUUCUGUUUCGCUAUUAUAAUGAGGAAUAACCAAAGGUCAUUCCGAUUAGCAACUGAUGGGAAAGUCUGGUGCCAGCAGCCGCGGUAAUACCAGCGUCAGUAGCA
rnacentral:rRNA from 1 species